UAUUGGCAAUGGGCGAAACUGAUCCAGCAAUGCCGCGUGGGUGAAGAAGGUCUUCGGAUCGUAAAGCCCUUUCGACGGGGACGAUGAUGACGGUACCCGUAGAAGAAGCCCCGGCUAACUUCGUGCCAGCAGCCGCGGUAAUACGAAGGGGGCUAGCGUUGCUCGGAAUUACUGGGCGUAAAGGGCGCGUAGGCGGCGGCCCAAGUCAGGCGUGAAAUUCCUGGGCUCAACCUGGGGACUGCGCUUGAUACUGGGUUGCUUGAGGAUGGAAGAGGCUCGUGGAAUUCCCAGUGUAGAGGUGAAAUUCGUAGAUAUUGGGAAGAACACCGGUGGCGAAGGCGGCGAGCUGGUCCAUUACUGACGCUGAGGCGCGACAGCUGGGGAGCAAACAGGAUUAGAUACCCUGGUAGUCCACGCCGUAAACGAUGUGCGCUGGAUGUUGGGGCCCAUAGGGUCUCAGUGUCGUAGCCAACGCGGUAAGGCCACCGCCUGGGGAGUACGGCCGCAAGGUUGAAACUCAAAGGAAUUGAC
rnacentral:rRNA from 1 species